UAGGCUAGUGUUUAUUAAGUUAGUCAAUGUCUGUUUCUCUCCAUUGUUUAUCAAAGACAUGAUUUUUGUUUAAAAUAUUUCAAAACUUAACAAAACCAACCACACAUAUUUGUUUCUUCUCUUAAACUAAGCUUUUAAGCUUACUGUUAUACAUUAACAACCAUUAGUGGGAGAGAAGGAGGGCCUCAUAGAAAUUUGACCAAAGUUCUUCAGCUUGUUUGCAAAUGGUCACAUAUAAGAAAUGGUCACACGUUAAAAAAGGGUUUUAUCGGUGGGGCAUGGUGGCUCACGCUUGUAAUUUCAGCACUUUGGGAGGCCAAGGCAGGUGGAUCACGAGGUUAAGAGAUCGAGACCAUCAUGGCCAACAUGGUGAAGCCUCGUCUCUACUAAAAAUACGAAAAUUAACUGGGAGUGGUGGUGCAUGCCUGUAGUUCCAGCUACUCAGGAGACUGAGACAGGAGAAUCGCUUGAACCCAGGAGGCGGAGGUUGCGGUGAGCCGAGAUUGCGCCACUGCACUCCAGCCUGACGACACAGCAAGACUCCAUUUCAAAAAAAAAAAAAAAAAAAAAAGGUUUUCUGUAAGACUAUCUUUUAAAUUUCCUCCUGGGUAAAAACUACCAUGCAGUUACGAUUGAAUGAUGAUGAUGGUGACAAGAUAUUGUGUAUAGUAUCAGUAAUCUCGUGACAAAAACAUCUAGGAAAACCAUUUCUAAGCCAUUGAGAAGUUAAGGUGAAACUUAGAAAAUGAUUUUUACUUUGAAAAAAUUGCAAGCAAAAAAUAAAAUCAAAGUGUUAGCAGGUCUGAGCUAAUGGCAUGUAGCAAUUGUCUAAGGCAUGACUACUGGGAGAUAAUCUUUUAGCUCCUCCAUUCCUACUUGCUCUGCUCUUUGUCAUUCCUAAGUACAGCUGUGUAUAUGCCUACCUCAUAGGAUUUAUCAGAUAGAGAAUUCAUCUCUCCCAAUUGUUUAUCUCCAUUCACCGUCAAUGACUGAAGCUUUUCUUCUUUUUUUCAGGGGUCAUGAUCUUUCCUUCCAUAAAGAAGGAUCAGGCCAAGAUGCAGAGACAAGGGACCUAUGCUGUGAACCAUUUCACAAGAAAGGAAUGGAGGCAUUGUAUGGGCCACUCCUUGAGGGAAACAAGCAUGAGGCAGGUCAGGAAAAGAAGGAAAGAGGCAGAACUUCCAAAGAACAGAUUUGUCAAGAAGAGGUAGGCACCUCAAAUAAAACUGCUCAGCAAUGGAAUGCUACCGUGUAAUAAAAAAGAAUGAACCACUGAUACACUCAACGACAUGAAUAACUCUCAAACUAUGCUGAAUGAAAAAAGCUGGACACAAAUGAAUACAUUCUGUAUGAUUCCAUUGGCAGAAAACUAGAAAAUGAAAACUAACCUGUAGUGACAAAAAACAGGUCAGUGGUUUUCCUUAUUAAGAAGGUCCAUGAGGAAACUUUGGGAGGAAGAUGAAUAUGUUCAUUAUCUUGGUUGUAGUGAUAGUUUCAUGGGUGUGUACGUAUGUCUUGUAAGAUUGUGCACUUUAAAUAUGGGAAGUUUAUUGUAGGUCAGUUGUAUUGCUCUAUGCAUGUUAUAUUCCUCUAUAUACAUAUUAUUUCCAGAAAAACAUAAUUUCCAGAAAAAACUGCUGAGCAACAUAGCACAUAAACAGGCAAUGGGCAGAGCUCUCAAGUAACUCUUCAAUUAGUGACUAUCUGACUCUUAGAGACAUUUUUGGGGACUAA
rnacentral:lncRNA from 1 species